GAGUUUGUCGGUUGGUCGGGCUUCACUGUCCGCACUGGCCUGAUGGAUUCCUACCUUCUGAAUAACCAGCAUGCUAUUAAUUUAGUGCGUUGGGGAAGCAGAGCUAUUACCUUGAAAAAAUUAGAGUGCUUAAAGCAGGCUUAUGCUUGAAUAGAUUAGCAUGGAAUAAUAAAAUAGGACGGUGGUCCUGUUUUGUUGGUUUCUGAAUCACCGUA
rnacentral:rRNA from 1 species